rnacentral:lncRNA from 1 species
AUAUAUAACAACAUUCAGUAGACAACAGCAUCCUUUUUUAAUCUCCAGAAGUUUCCAGAAAUAAAAAUACUUGUUUUGGGAUAGCUGAAGAGAGGACUUUGAGCCUGGCAGUAGGUAGGAUGGAAAUGUCCCUUCAGUUGAUAGCCCCUGUGAAACAUCACCCUGCUUCCUCCAGGCCAUGCCAUCAGCUCAGAACACAGUACAGAGCAGGUUGUGUUAACUCUCCAUAAAGGAUCCCUUCAAGGCUGCAGAGCAGAAACCUGCUUGGUGAACUUGCAGCAGAAGAACAUGAGUACCAAAACUAUUUGUGUCUGUUCUGAAGGAGCCUCCCGAGGAGAGCAAACACUGCAAACCUCUGCUAGAGAAACUAUGUUUGAGUCCCAGUAUCCCAACUCUCCCACGUACUUGCUGGCUAUUCUGGGAGGCUACGAAUGUGAGUCAAACAGAUUAAAUAAAUGGUCCCUGACCACCGGUAUGGAAGAGAUACUGUUGGAACCAAGGCUCUGAGUCAUCAAAGUCGGUGAUCUGUUGAGCUCUCCCCAUCUGUGUCCCAGAUGUUACAGAAAGCCCUUGAAGACUUUGUUCAACUUUAGAGUCCAUAAUUCACAUAUAUAUUCUUGUGUGUUGAUUGCUAGUUUUAUUCAUUAAACUAAUAAAUUAACCUACUCUUUUUUUUUGUUCCAUUACUGCUUGAGUUCUCAUUUUUUGUCAGUUUUAAGUACAUGGAUAUUUUUGUCAACACAGCUGGGCAAUAUUAAACUGUUCACUAAAUUAAUUAUUUGGUUUGUUCCAAUAAUUUAUCUGCUGUGUACAAGGUGCCAGGUAAGGCAUUCAAUAAAUAUACACACAUACCGUACCACACAGUCCCUGGUUCAGAGCAUUCAUAGCAAUAUCACCCCUAAAAAUUAAAUGUGACAUGAUUGGAGAUGAUGAUGUAAAAGACUCAACCAUGACUGAACUUGAAAAAACAUUUUCACAUAAAUAAUGUUCCUGUGUGCCCAGCCAGCACUUUGCAAGGUGUCAGGGGAGCUAAAAUCCAGAGUUUAACAUUCUGGAUUAACAGAAUG